CUAUACUUAAAAUAUAAACUGCCAGCUUCUGUCACAUUGCGGCCCUAAGGGUUUUCAGGAUCAGACUGCUACUGCCAGAAAUAGGAUGCUGCAAUUGAAUCUGGUUUUAAAUUUUACACUAUAUCAGGCUUCCAAGUUGGGCAUAUUUACAUGUACAUUUGAUGGCAUCUAAUGUAUGCAUACAGCUAAAAUAAAAUUUGCAUGAUGGUAACUGAUCACAUGCAGGCUUUGAUGAGUUCCUUUCCUUCUGCUAAGCUCCACAUAUCUUAUUGAAUUUCUGCAUCAGUUCACAUCCUGGAUCAGAGUGAUGCACACAUCAUAUAUCUGUGGAAGAUAUACUGCUUCAGCAGGAACCUUCCUGCUCCAAUGAUGAUGACAUGAUGAACAAUAUACCUGAAAGCUGCUAGCUGAAGCAUAGAUUCCUGAAACAUAGAGAUUAACCACUCAAAUACAAGGAGGAGUCUGGAAAAUAACUCUGCAGGUCAGAAACAGCACUGAAACCCCAUGGCAGUGAAGAGUUUCUCUUACAGAAAAGUAUGACUCCAGAUACAAGGCCUCUCAAGAAUUAGACUGUUUGUCUUCUCUGGAGAGAAUGCUCCAGCAACUGAGCAAGUGACCAGGUAUUGCAAAAACAGUGAUGUGUAGAAGCAAGAAGAUCCCUAGCAUGGCAUUAAAAAGGUCACAGGAACCCAGCUCAAGCAGAGGUGCUUGUAUACUCAGGAGUCCCUUUUCAUUUCUUGCAUCAGCAGCCAACCCAAGCCUAGACUGGGACUUCUGGUUUACUCAUAUCUGGACUCUUGAUGUGAUAGAUGAGAGGAUAAUCUUUCUGCAUUCAGUUUACUCUGAUCCUGUCUACCAGUCGUUCUCCUGGGAAAAAAAAUAAAUCACUGAAUGGAGUAUGCACCUUUAAAUAAAAGGAUUAAAAA